UAUCGCCUACGGGACGCAGCAGUCGGGAAUAUUGCGCAAUGGAGGAAACUCUGACGCAGUGACGCCGCGUAUAGGAAGAAGGUUUUCGGAUUGUAAACUAUUGUCGUUAGGGAAGAGAAAGGACAGUACCUAAGGAGGAAGCUCCGGCUAACUACGUGCCAGCAGCCGCGGUAAUACGUAGGGAGCGAGCGUUAUCCGGAUUUAUUGGGCGUAAAGCGAGUGCAGGCGGUUCAAUAA
rnacentral:rRNA from 1 species